GACGAACGCUGGCGGCGUGCUUAACACAUGCAAGUCGAACGGAAAGGCCCUGCUUUUGUGGGGUGCUCGAGUGGCGAACGGGUGAGUAAAACGUGAGUAAAAUGCCCUUGACUUUGGGAUAAAUUCAGGAAACUGGGGCUAAUACAGGAUAGGAGCUCCUGCUGCAUGGUGGGGGUUGGAAAGUUUCGGCGGUUGGGGAUGGACUCGCGGCUUAUCAGCUUGUUGGUGGGGUAGUGGCUUACCAAGGCUUUGACGGGUAGCCGGCCUGGGAGGGUGACCGGCCACAUUGGGACUGAGAUGCGGCCCAGACUCCUACGGGAGGCAGCAGUGGGGAAUAUUGCACAAUGGGCGGAGGCCUGAUGCAGCAACGCCGCGUGCGGGAUGACGGCCUUCGGGUUGUAAACCGCUUUCGCCUGUGACGAAGCGUGAGUGACGGUAAUGGGUAAAGAAGCACCGGCUAACUACGUG
rnacentral:rRNA from 1 species